rnacentral:lncRNA from 1 species
CGGAGAUGUAGGCGCUGCGCCUGACCCUUCACUACAUCGGCCACCUGUCUGCCAUGCUGGGCCUCGGCGACGACGAGCAGACGCAGUAUCCCCGCAGGGCUACCGGGUGUGCCCAGACCACUGCAGGGCGUCCUGGGGGUCCCAGGCCACGCCAGAGCCACGUGGCUAGUGGCUCCUUCCAGCGCAGAACCCGCCCCGGGGGCGGGUGGCGCCCCCUACUGCCCGUGCAGGGGACAGGGACAGGGCCCUCUCUCCCCCUAGCAGCUCUUUUCCUGCGACCUGCUGGCUCUGCUCAAGACCUGGAUGCACCCUCAGUCCUGGAGCAGGUGCCGGCCUGAGGUGUCCAGGCGACAACAGACGGCUGGCGCCCCGUCUGAGCACCGAGGCUUUUCUGACCUCAGCACCUUGGAAAGCGACCCUUUGCUGGAAGAAGGCACCAGAACCUGGUGUGGAACUGGAUAAGCAUUUUACAGAAUCAAGACCCGCACUCAAACCCACCUAGGACUUGGGAUCUGGAGCUCUCCACCCUGGUCAUCUGGGAAGCGGUCUCGAGAUGUUACGUGAUCCUGUCCCAAUGUGCUCCUCCUACCG